AACUGGAUCAAGUUGCAGCCUGUUAUGACACCUUAAUAUAAGUAGAGUUGCCUGGAAACUUCUCUCUUUAUUGAACAAGCGUCAAAAAUGACAAUACAUCAAUUGGAAGUAUGCACAACUUGUCAACUGGCAGUUACAUGCAAAAUAACAAAAGACAAACAAACGGCAGCACCUGAUAGGUCAAGGAUUUUUAUCAUACAUCGUGAGUUCUCGGAACAAUAAGCGAUCUAUGGUUUCUGCUGAUGGGCAAGUGAAUAUAAACCUCAUGAACAUCUUGUUUGUAAACCUCGCCCCUAUCUCUAUCUAUGGCAUAGCAUACAUAAAUAGUGUCAAUCACAUUGUCCAGCACACGGACAAAGAAGCCCAGAACCACUAUCAAAAGCAUCCAUGCAAGAAAAGAUACAAGAUAUGAGUCAACCCCAAGAUUGAUCGCACCCUUCAAGAUGGCACAAACCACAAUUGCAUAUAUUGCUGAGAGGACGAAGGCAAUUCCAGCCAACAAACGAGAUGAGACAGUCUCCACAAAAACAGCAGAGAGCAGAUUGCGUUUUAAGAGCUCAUAUGUCAUCCUUGCAGAGAUGCAGUACGCUUUACCAGUUAUUGCUGCGAAGUUGAUUGUGAACUUGUUAAGAAAAUCUACUGCUGACAGUAAUGCAUUAACACAACACCGCAAUAUAAGGUUCACCAUUCCAGGAACAUCCUCUUGUCUUGCGCUAUCAACAGCAGCACGCACCGUACGAACAACACAAAUAAGUAGUCCAGAUAGGCAUACAGUUCCAGAGGAGGGGCCAAAUGCAUUUCUGAAAGUAUUCAGAAGGCACAUAUGAAAAAUAUGAACUUGUCAUGAUUAUGAUUGUAUAUCUCCAAGUGUGCAUAGAAAUACUGCUAUCAAGGAUGAUAUAUUGUCUGAAAUGAAAAAAGGUUACAAAGUGGUAACAAAGAACUAAAGUUAGACCACUCUAAAUAAUAAAAACAAAUGCAACAGUAUCCAAUAUGUCUGUCCUUAGACCUCAACUUCAAGAGAAUGAAAAUGCAAAGAAAAGCUAUAAAGAUAAGCACCCGUUCAGGUGCAAAAUAAAAACUUAUUGUUCUCUGGGGAGCUAGCAAAUGUAAUUAUGUACAAAUACGUAAUCUUACUUUAACCACCACUGCUUUGCAUAAUAGUUAUCCUGCCCCUUAUCACAUCACUUAGCUUCCUGUUAAGAAAAGGCAUGUUUAGAACAUAAAUGUAAGUUCAUUUCCAGGACAGAAUACCUUAAGCAUAUUAGACGUGUCUGGUUAUUGGUAUGGCCUAUGAAGUCAGUAUGCAGAGACACCACUUAAUUGGCAUUCUCUCAAGCUUAGUUUUCCGGAUAAUACUUUGGGUUGAUACUCGGUACAUCUGUCUCCAAUACAUUAAUAUUGGAGAGGAAAUACAUGUGCCUAAGUCAACAAAAAUCUAAAACUCCUUCGCAUACUUUGUCAAGUUAUGUGGUAGCACUAUCACAAAAAUUCAUUCAAAUUCUAACUGAACUCUAUCAUAUUCACCUCCAGAUGAUAUCUUAUUAUCAUUAAGCACGGUAAACAAAUUAUUAUGAGAAGAUAAAUAUCGAUAUAAUAGGGCCUUUUGAAAAUUGAAAGUGCUCAAAAUAUUUAAUAAGCAAUCAAAACCACCCAACCUGUGCUCUCUAAUAGAGGGCCAUCCUACAUGCUUGUCAUGAUCAGCAAUAUAUGGCACAAAACAAUCAAAUGGCAAAUCUACAAAUUCAAAAAAAUUGAGGAUGUUGAUGAGAGUAGAAGGUAUCAGGUCUUGUGCCAAAGCAGAUCCAAAGGACAAUAAAUGUACUACAUAGGGUAAUGGAGUUGAAGCUUAGAACCAAGCAUGACACCAUCAAAACCAUUAAACCAACAGAUCUGUUGACAAGCAAACAGAAAAUUGACAAUUUGUUAUGCAUCCAAAGAAAUACUCAAAUGCAGAAAAAUAAAGAGUGGAAAAAUGAGGUCAGAAUUAUAGAGAGAACAAUUGCAAUGUGAAAAGUUAUCUAAUUGAGGGUGCAAUCUUGACUCCAACUACAAUGCAAAAGCUCAAAGUUCUUCGAUUGGAUAUUUCAUUGAAAUCAAUGAAAACCACCACAAUAACCACUUAGCUUAUUAAGAACUCAUUACACCUUCAAUGCUAAGCAGUAAGUAGCAUUAGACAAAGGUAGACCACAUAAUUGAUUUUGGAAAUAAACUUUCAUAAGAAUAUGGUGCAAUCAGCAAGUGCUUAAAAAGAACAUAUCAACUUGUAGAAGAGCGCCCACUACUGUAGGAUCUUGAUGUUAAGGCAAAAUUUACAAGGACCUUAUGAUGGCAGCUCAUGAUAUUAUCUAUCAGUUUAAAAAUACUUAGCACCAUUUGGAGAAAAUUAUACUGAUAUCCAUAGUCCACGUGGUAUUUACUCAAAGCAAUUUAUGAAUACUAGGACAUCCAAAAGAGAAUAGUUAGGCAUGCAUCAGUUGCCAUAUGUUACUGUUUUUGACAAUGACAUACCUUAACCAACUGCAAAAAAUUCGGACAACUAUACAUCCAAAGUUCUAUAAUCCCAAAGUAUACUCCUAAAAAUCUAAAAAAAGAAUAAAAUGAACUAUUAACAAUAUACCCAAAAACAUUAGGUAAGAAUGCAUAUGUUGUACUACACAAACAAGCAAUUUCUGAAAAUCACCUCAAAGAACUUCUAAUACUUCGCUUAGGAGCUGAAUCCUCCUUCGUGAAGUACCACUGAGCAAUAGUCCCACUGAUCACAUAAACCUGAGCUUCGAUCAUUGCAGUCAAAGACCACAGCAUUGUAAGAAUUGCCAAUGCAUAGUACGCAGGCACCCAACUAUCCUGCUUCCAAACACAAGCAUACCCAGCACUGGAUUCCUUUGGCACAAUUUUCCCAUUAUGCCUUGAAAACACCAAAAACACUAUAAUUGGAGCAUAAUAAACCACUAAACAAAGUGUCAAUAACGGUAACGCCACAAAUAAGCCCAAAUUCUUAGAAAGUGCAUCGGAGGCAACCCCAAUUAUCAUCACAGUCAACUCAAUUCUAUGCCAAUUAACCACAAAAAUCCACACAAUGACCCCAAUAACCAAGAAGACAAAAACCAGCACCAAAAUCCUAUAAACCAACGGGAAUACAUCGCUGCAAGAAGAGCUAACUGUGCAGGCAACGAACCAAUAAACAUUGAAAAAGAUGGGAAUAACGACAAAGAAGGGAAGCGAGAUGUACACAAUCUGCUUGGUGUAAUGAUUGAGCAACAAAAGCAAAAGAAAGCAAAUGGGUGCACUCAAGAUCAAAGUAAUUACAAGACUCCAUAUCAAAGCUUUCCAAACACCAGAAUUCGACGAACUCAAAAGGUAAUAAUACACAUGAGUUUCGAAAAAACCAUCAGUGGACGAAGACAACGAGUCCUUGACGCAAGAAGUUGAGUUGAAGUCGUAUGUAUAGGAGGAAAGCCUGGAGUAAUUUUGGUUUCUGUGGAAAAUAGAGAAGAUUCCAAAAGCGAAAGUGCAAAUAACAAAGAAAGCAAAGAGAAUGAGAAAGGGAAGGUCCUUGAAGGGUCUGAUACCAUAAUUGUAAGAGAUCUGUAGGUACUGGUUAGGGUCGGAUUCAUCUGGGAGGGGUUGGGUGGCUUCUUCGAUUGGAGGAGGGGAAGGAGGAGGAAGAGAAGGAGAGAAAGUGGGUUUGGAGAGGAGAGGCUCUGAGGGGGAAGAUGAGUCGAAGAAAGAAUUGGAUUUGUCGGUUUCCUCGUUGCUGCCCAUUAGAGGGAAUAGGGUAGACGGAGGUGGAGGUGAUAGCGGUGGCGGUGGUGGUAGUGGGGGUCGGGGUGGUGAUUAUGGUGGCGACAGGGGUGGGAGCUUCUUGGCGGUGGGCUGUGGUUGACUGACAACUCAGCUGGUAUGAUGGUCGGUUUUUACACAGUGCAAAUGAUGACUAUUUUGGAGUGCGUACUCAUGACUGAAGAGACCAUAGU
rnacentral:misc_RNA from 1 species